AGGGCGUAUGGUGAAUGCCUUGGGAUAUUGAGCCGAUGAAGGACGUAGCAGCCUGCGAUAAGCCUCGGGAAGGUGGCAAGCAACCAGUGAUCCGGGGAUCUCCGAAUGGAGCAAUCCAACGCGGCAAACCCGCGUUAUCCCGCAUUGCGGGAGGGUAAGCCAGGGAACUGAAACAUCUAAGUACCUGGAGGAAAAGAGAACAAAUGUUAUUCCCCUAGUAGCGGCGAGCGAAACGGGAUCAGCCUAAACUUUAGUUAUUGCCUUGUUUACAAGGAAGGGUUACAGCCUGUUAAUUAAAGGGUUGCGAGAUUAUAUAGUCUUCAACUGUAAUUGAAGAAAAAAGUAUUUAUGAUUUAUAGCUGAAUUUCUCUGGAAAGAGAAACCAUAGAAGGUGAUAGUCCUGUAAGCGAAAUAUUUCAUAACUUUUUAAUAUAAUUCUCAAGUACCUCAGAAAAAGAUAACUCUGAGGGAAUCUGGCAGUACUACAAAAAUGAACCUAUUUCCAUUGGAUUUAGGGGAUCUGCCAAGGCUAAAUACUCAAUAUCACCGAUAGUGAACUAGUACCGUGAGGGAAAGGUGAAAAGAACCCCGGGAGGGGAGUGAAAUAGAAACUGAAACCAUAUGCUUACAAAGAGUCAGAGUCCCGCUCUGCGGGAUGAUGGCGUGCUUUUUGCAGAACGAACCAACGAGUUAAUAUAUAUCGCUGCUUAAGCUUUUCGGAGCGAAGGCAUAGGGAAACCGAGUCUUAACCGGCGUGCGAGCCUGUUUGAAAACUCUCUUUCGUUGCGAAAGUUUCAAAUUUUGAGCGAAAAAUGUGAAAAUUAAGGAAGACUAUUAUUGAUAAUCUGACGAAUUUUGAACAUUUUGCAGCCAAAAUUUGAAACUUGCAGUAGAAAAUAGAGUUUCCAAACAGGCUCAUUAGUGGUAUGUAUUAGACCCGAAGCCAGGUGACCUAACCAUGGCCAGGAUGAAGUUUGUCGAAAGACAGAUGGAGGUCCGAACCCACCAGCCGUGCAAAACUGGGGGAUGAGCUGUGGUUAGCGGAGAAAUUCCAAUCGAACCUGGAAAUAGCUGGUUCUUCCCGAAAUAGCUCUAGGGCUAGCGUUGCGUAUAAACUCCGGAGGUAGAGCACUGAAAAGGAGCGGGUGGCUUCGGCCUACCGUUUUUUAUCAAACUCCGAAUGCCGGGGCGGAUAGCGCAGCAGUCAGAAUGCGGGGGAAAAGCUUCGUGUUCAAAAGGGAAACAGCCCAGACCGCCAUCUAAGGUCCCUAAAACAAGUUAAGUGGGAAAGGCAGUGAGACUUCUUAAACAGCUAGGAUGUUGGCUUAGAAGCAGCCAUUCAUUUAAAGAGUGCGUAACAGCUCACUAGUCGAGUCGUCUUGCGCCUAAAAUUUAACGGGGCUAAACUUGUUACCGAAGAUGCGGAUGCCGCUGCUAUGCAGCGGUGUGGUAGGGAAGCGUUCCAUACUGCAGUGAAGUUCAAGUGUAAACUUGGGUGGAGCGUAUGGAAGUGAGAAUGUUGGUAUGAGUAACCGCAAUGCCAGUUAGAUACUGGCACACCGAAAACCCGAGGUUUCCUGGGCAACGGACAUCGUCCCAGGGUUAGUCGGUCCUAAGGCGAGGUCGAAAGGCGUAGUCGAUGGCCAGCAGGUUAAUAUUCCUGCACUACAUUUAACAAGCGAGGGGGGGACGCAGUUUAGUAGGUUGAGCGUAUUAUUGGAUUUACGUUCUUGUUCUAAGGGAGUUCUAUAGGCAAAUCCGUAGAACACAUAUCCCAAGGAUUGAGAAAAGUUCCAUUAGGAGCAAUUCAGCUGAGCAAGCUGCCGGGAAAAUCCUCUAAGCGUUUUAUGGUUAAAUGUAACCGUACCGCAAACCGACUCAGGUGGGUGGGGCGAGAAGCCCAAGGUGAACGGGUGAUCCCUUGUUAAGGAAUUCGGCAAAACAGCGGCCGUAAGCUUGCAAUAAGGCCUCCCGCUCAGCGCGCAAGCGUUGUGAGCGGGCGCAGCUAAAGAUCCCGAGCGACUGUUUAUUAAAAACACAGGUCUCUGCUAACUCGUAAGAGGAAGUAUAGGGGCUGACGCCUGUCCGGUGCCAGAACGUUAACGAAGAAGGUGCAAGCCUUGUUCCGAAGCGCUGGUGAACGACGGCUGUAACUAUAACGGUCCUAAGGUAGCGAAAUUCCUUGUCAUCUAAUUAGUGACGUGCAUGAAUGGCGUAACGACUUGGGAACUGUCUCAACAAGGAGCCCGGUGAAAUUGCAAUAACGGUAAAGAUGCCGUUUACCUGCAGCAAGACGAAAAGACCCCGUGAAGCUUUACUAUAGCUUGGUAUUGAAUUGGGAUUUUAGAUGCUUAGAAUAGGUGGGAGGCUUUGAUCUUCGCUUUCUGGAGCGAAGGGAGCCGCAAUGUGAAAUACCACCCUUUUAGGGUUUUAAUUCUAACUUCGUGUUGUGAAUCCAACACAAGGACAGUGCCUGGUGGGUAGUUUGAGUGGGGCGCUCGCCUCCUAAAGAGUAACGGAGGCGCUUAAAGGUUAGCUAGCUCCGGAUGGAAAUCGGAGCGAUAGCGCAAAAGUAUAAGCUAGCUUUACUGCAAGGCCGAUAAGCCGCGCAGUUACGAAAGUAGAAUUUAGCGAACCGACCGCAGAUUGUAGGAUAAUCGCGGGAGAAUUCAGAUAAAAGCUACUCCGGGGAUAACAGGCUAGUCUGGUCCAAGAGUUCACAUCGACGACCAGGUUCGGCACCUCGAUGUCGGCUCAUCGCAUCCUGGGGGUGAAGAAGCUCCCAAGGGUUUGGCUGUUCGCCAAUUAAAGCGGUACGCGAGCUGGGUUUAAACCGUCGUGAGACAGGUUGGUCUCCUAUCUGCUGCAGGCGUUGGAACUUGAGAGAAGUUGUCUCUAGUACGAGAGGACCGAGAUGAACAAACCUCUGGUGUACCAGCUGUUCCGCCAGGAGCACCGCUGGGUAGCUAAGUUUGGACGGGAUAAGCGCUGAAAGCAUCUAAGCGCGAAGCCUCGCUCAAGAUUAGGUUCCAUAAUCCCCUUGAAGACUACAAGGUUGAUAGGCCUCAGAUGUAAGCGCAGUAAUGUGUUUAGUCGAGAGGUACUAAUGGAUUUAACUACUUUAUUU
rnacentral:rRNA from 1 species